UCGAAUGCAAUUGGAGUCGGUUGUCGCUGGCCUCUUCAUUGAGGCAUGUGCACGCCUUCUCUAUUCAUCCACACACACCUGUGCACUUGUGAGACGGAUUUUGAACCUCUCCGGGGGGGACGGUCCGUCUAUUAUAACAUAAACUCUAAUAAAUAUAAAUUUGAAUGUAAUCGAUGUAAACGCAUCUUUAAAC
rnacentral:misc_RNA from 1 species